CACGUAGGGCGCAAGCGUUGUCCGGAAUUAUUGGGCGUAAAGGGCUCGUAGGCGGUUUGUCGCGUCGGGAGUGAAAACACCGGGCUUAACUCGGUGCUUGCUUUCGAUACGGGCAGACUAGAGGCAUGCAGGGGGAGAACGGAAUUCCUGGUGUAGCGGUGAAAUGCGCAGAUAUCAGGAGGAACACCGGUGGCGAAGGCGGUUCUCUGGGCAUGUCCUGACGCUGAGGAGCGAAAGUGUGGGGAGCGAACAGG
rnacentral:rRNA from 1 species